AAAGGGAAAAAGUACGAAAGGGAAAGACAGGCAGGAAGGAAGGGAUGUUAUAUCUCGCACUCUUUAAAAGUAAAAAAUAGAAAAUAAAGACCUUGUCCUGUUUGUAGGUGUAAAGUGAGAGCGAGAGAGAUCAGUGUGUUGAAUAAUUGCAAACAAUAGGUGGUGAAAAAUAGAGGAAACGUUCUCGGAAGCCACCACCUCAUUGUAGAAAUCCCCGCACCAAAUCCAGGCUUCCUUUAACCAGCCUCCUCCUGGAUAUCGGAGCUGACAUCUUUGUGGUUUUGGUUGCGGUCCCCACAUGGUUGGAUAAAAUUGAAUAACU
ensembl:lncRNA